AUCUCUUCAAAGACAUUUAAUAAAAUUGGAAUGAUACAAAGAAGAUUAGCAUUGUUCCACACAAGGAUGACAUGCACAAAUCAAGAAAUGCUAUCAGAGCAU